UACGUAGGGGGCAAGCGUUGUCCGGAUUCAUUGGGCGUAAAGAGCGUGUAGGCGGCCAGGUAGGUCGGUUGUGAAAACUGGAGGCUCAACCUUCAGAGGUCGACCGAAACCAUCUGGCUAGAGUCCGGGAGAGGAGAGUGGAAUUCCUGGUGUAGCGGUGGAAUGCGCAGAUAUCAGGAGGAACACCAAUGGCGAAGGCAGAUCUCUGGGCCGUAACUGACGCUGAGGAGCGAAAGCAUGGGGAGCGAACAGG
rnacentral:rRNA from 1 species